rnacentral:rRNA from 1 species
UACGUAGGGGGCGAGCGUUGUCCGGAGUUACUGGGCGUAAAGGGCAUGCAGGCGGUCGGACGCGUUUCGGGUGACAGCGGGUGGCUUAACUACCCGAGUGGUCGAAAGACGGUUUGACUUGAGGACGCGAGAGGGACACGGAAUUCCGGGUGGAGUGGUGAGAUGCGUAGAGAUCCGGAGGAACACCGAAGGCGAAGGCAGUGUCCUGGCGCGUAACUGACGCUGAGGUGCGAAAGCCAGGGGAGCGAACGGG